CCUACGGGGGGCAGCAGUGGGGAAUUUUGCGCAAUGCUCGUAAGAGUGACGCAGCGACGCCGCGUGAAUGACGAAGGCCUUCGGGUCGUAAAGUUCUUUCGACAGGGAAGAAAAUGCCUAUAAGUAACUGUGUAUGUAUUGACGGUACCUGUAUAAGCAGCCCCGGCUAACUCCGUGCCAGCAGCCGCGGGAAUACGGAGGGGGCGAGCGUUGUUCGGAGGGACUGGGCGUAAAGAGCACGUAGGCGGUGUUGUAAGUCAUUAGUCAAAGACUAGAGCUCAACUUUAGUAAGGCUAGUGAUACUAUAAUACUAGAGUAUCAGAGAGGAGUGCAGAAUGCCUGGUGUAGCGGUGAAAUGCGUAGAUAUCAGGAGGAAUACCGUUAGCGAAGGCGGCAAUCUGGCUGGAAACUGACGCUGAGGUGCGAAAGCGUGGGUAGCAAACAGGAUUAGAUACCCCUGUAGUC
rnacentral:rRNA from 1 species